GGUCGAGGCGCAGGUCGUGGGGAGGAGAGGUUCCCCCGGUUGGGUGAAGCGUUGCCGCGACCCCCCGCCCCCCGCCAAAAAAACCCGUGAUGCGCUGGGGCCCCUUGCUGAGCGCCGGCGUUAAGUUUGGAAGGCUGUGUGUGCGCCGCGCAGGAGCACCUGCCCGCCGGCUGGGCGGCCGAUACCGGCCGAGUUGAGUCGAUUUGGCUCUUGUUUUGUAAACUAGCCUUUGUCUGGUAAGUGCGGCUAAAAUACUUUAAACCCUUGUUAACCCCUGCAGUGCCUUAUCUGGGGCCCACACAGGCUCUGGUUUGGAAACAAAAAGCGGGACCACCAGAUGAAAAAGGGGGCGCUUCUUUUGUGAAAGCCUGGAACAAAGGGCCCCGCGGAUUCUGGCUGGGAACCCCCCCCCACAAGCCGAUUUCCGGGGCAGCAGGUCUUGUUGGGGUACUUUGAAAUGUCCCCAGUUGGCCGGCUGGGCCCUCUCCCCGGGAUUCUUCCCCUCCUCCCGCUGGAAGGUGGGGGGGCCCAGGUGAGCAGGCUGCCCCUGGGCCUCCCUUGGUGUUACUUCAGCUCGGGGCACGGAAGCGUUGCUCAGCCUGUCUUUACGGGCUGCCUCCUCCUUUGGGGAUGGCAGAACCUGAGGCGCAGGCUGCUGCCUGACUCAGCCGCCCUGCCACAGGUGAGGGGGGCCCAGGGCGCAGGCUCCGACUGGCAGCCCGUGUGUCAUCUGCGUGCGGCUGCUGGUGGAUUGUGCGGGGAGUCACCACCCCGCCCGUCUGCCCCGGGGACUAGGAAGCUGUCUGCAGGCCGGGCUCUGUGAUAACAGCUACACGGAUGCGUCCCAGUGGCCCCCUAUCAGCGCCGUCCUGACCUCUGGGUGAAGGGGGGGUGCUGAGUUGGCCUUGGCCACUUUGUCUACUGCGGCAACAUGCGAAGGGGGCCUCGGGAGCCAGCCAGGAUUUUCCUUUUGGUGAACCUUAGGGGCGGUGCAGGUCUGGAGCCUGGAGCUGGUGAGCAGCCAGGGCGGUGACCCGGGGUCAGCCCCGCCUUAGGCAGGGAGGCUGGGAAGCCGGUGUCCUGGUUCCAGGCACCGUCAUUCUGUGAGGCCGGGCUCCGAGCAGGGCAGCUCGGCCGUCCCCGACGGCGCAGGCCCUGACCUGUGGGGGCCAGCUCACCGAAUCCUGGCUUGGCACAGCUGAAGAGGGUUUAUAGAUGCCCCAAGCUUGCUUUCCUACAGCUGCUGGUGACCAGGCUUCCCUAACCCAGUAAAGCCACAGCUGCCGGGUUCGUGGCCGCGGCCUGGGGAGCUCUCAGAGUUCCCCAGGUGAGUCUCACUUGCAGAGGAGACUGGGAAUCAGUUCCCUAUUGGGUGAGCACAUUGAGGCCCAGAGGCAGGUGGGGGCCGCACCCACGUUCACAGCAAGAAGCAGACCCCUUCAGAAGCUCCAGCACCCUUUGCCAAACCAUGUCUAUGGCCUUCAGUAACUUCCCGGUCUCAAGGGCAAGGUCAGAGGCUGUAGAUCCACCCGAGAGAACCUUGGAACCUUGGGGUUUCGGAGCCAAAGAAGCCUCCUACCCCUGGGUUCAGCAUCGCCGGCCAGAGAAGCCAGAGCAAAGCUGGCACAGCGCCACUCUGUGGCAUAUCUGCGUUCUGCACCUCCCAGCCGGGCACCUCCCCAGCCCACUGGGUCCCCUGAUGGCCCUCGACCCUUGGGUAGGCGAGGUCCCUGCUCCCCUGCUCUGAAGGAGGAAGGGCCUCCGGGCUUAGAGCCCCUACCUGAGAGGUGGGUGCCCGCGGCUCCUACUUUGCCAGAGGAACGCAGGUGAGUGAGACCUGGCUGCUAGCGCUCUCUCUCGCCCCGGGAACGCGUAGGGGCUUGUGGAGUCAGCCAGCAAGGCAGGUUUUGCCUGGCCCCAUGCGAAGGCUUGGAAUUCCCAGUCUGGGUUAUUCGAAGUCCACAGCGGGCUGGGGUUGGGUGGUAGCGCGUUAAUUACCUGUGUUAUGGCAACACAGCAGCCUCUAAACCACAGGGCUGCGUGAAGCCGGCCGGCCCCCCUUGCCCGGCCCCCCUUGCCCGGCGUGCCAGCAGAGCUGUUUUCCCGAGCUGCAGGGAUCUGUGUUCCAGGUGACAUUUCAGCUUGGCCACUCGCUUCCAUUUCUCUCCUCUCUCGUCGAGUGUGGUGCGGGCCGCCGAGCCCCUGGCUCCGCUUCCCCACACUGGCCUUUCUCCCCGAUCGAGGCCACAGGCGGGAGGGGACGUGUUCCUGUCAGUGAGAAUUUAUUGAGCGCCUGCUAUGAACCUGGCCCGCGCCGGCUGCUCGGAGGUGUACAUGCAGAUAAGACCGGAGCGCAUCCCGAGCGGCCCUUUGCACGCCUGCCAAACGGCGCGCCGGGGGCCUUUUAAUCUCGCCUCUGCAGCUUCGUUCCCCCACCAGCCUCUUGACGUGCGCCUCUGCUCCAGCAGGAUGGAACCUCAGGCCUCCCUGCUCUGUGCCCUGUCCCUGCCUUUGCUGGGGCUGCUCCUCUGCCUGGCACUCUCCUGUCAGCUGCGAAGCCCGGGGUCCCUGAGACCAACCCCACCCCCCGCCGCCUCUCCCUCCCCAAAGCCUAGAGCACAUCCAGAGGGGAAGCUCCUGCAGAGCUGGGCGAAGUGAGAGCAGCCUCCGGAGAGGGUGGGUAGGCCUGGCGGGAACCAGCAUGAAGCCCUCAGACCAGGUGUUCAUUCUUGACUACAUUUUAGAUUCACCUGGGGACUUUUUAAACCCCCAGCCCCCCAGCCCAGGCCGCACCUGUGACCGGUGAAGACCCAAAUCUCUAGGGUUGGGGCCCGGGUAUCUGAGCUUCCAAAGCCCCAGCUGAGCUCCAAGGGCCUUCUGCUGGGGGUGGGGAGCCGUGGGUGAGGCAUCCUCGGUGGAGAGGGGGGGCUGCUGCUUCCUCAGGAGAAUUGCGGUCCCACGUGGGAGGCCAGAGUUUGCUGUUGGCCCCAGAGUUGCCCCAGGUGAGCUGCAAGCCCUUCUCCUAAAGGGGCCUUCCCGUGCGGGUUGUGCUUGGAUGGGUGGCUUCUCUGUCUCUGGAGCGCUGGCCAAGCCUUCCCUUCCUGGAACCGGUUCCUCCAGCUGGAGGUGUGAGAAGUUGCACGUUGCAGUGGCUUUUUUGGGGGUUGCCAGACUCCUCGUGGGUCAGUGAUGGCAUAGGCCCUCUCACCGAGGUCGGGGCUGCUGCGCGCCCCCGCCACCCCCAGCUGCUGCCUUCCUGUAGGAUGGGGAGGCAGUGGCUUUUUGGAGUCAAGGAUUGAGGUGACAUAAUGCGUGUCACAGGCCCGUGCCUGAACGGGUCAACAAAGAGGAAGGGCCAAAGCCCUCCGGGGGCUGGGGGAAGAGCCCGUGUCUGCUCUUAGUGGCCUGUUGGUCUGUCUCUGACCAGGGCAGUCACCUCUGGCUGAACCUGUGUGACUGGCACACUUGCGGGCCUGGGUUUUCUCUCUAAAGGAGGAAUGGCCGUGGCGCCCACGUUGUUGGGCUGUAGAGGGUUAACCGCGUUCUUAUAGAGUGCUCAGAGCAGCGCCUGGCACGGAGGGCACUCGUGGUGGGGUUUGUCAGGAAGCGCGCCAGGUCAUCCCCGACUUGGUGGCUCUAGGAGUCCUGGGAUUUUAACCGAGGACACCGGAAGGCUCGGUCCACUGCCCUCUGUGGCCUCCCAGGGGCUCCCUGGAGCCCCCACUGACCCUCCCCCUGGUGAGGCUGCAGGAACCAAAGGGUUCUUCUGGGGCCUGGCCCACUACCAGGGUCUUGGACACGCAUGGACGCGCAUACCCACCCCUCUGGGGGGACUUGCUGCCCCCUGCCCCACCCUGUGGUGGUGGGUGGGAUUGCUGGUGGUGCCUCUUCUAGCCCUGCCCUUCCUGUCCAGUUGGCACAUCUGUGCCCGCAGGCAGCAGCAAAAGGUUUCCUUCCAUCAGUUGGCUUUUGGUCAGGGAGGGCCCUAUCGACAUUGGCAGGUGGAGGCUUCUGAAGGAAAAUCCAUGUGUCAAAAGCUGAGGAGAAUCAGGCCUGCAGGCGGAGUGGGUGGGGCCUCCUUAGGGCCCCCCCGGGCGUCUCCACCAUCUCCCCCCCCACCCCCAGCUGAGCUAGGGCCCCAGGCGCCCCCUGCUGUGCCACCGGCCUGUUUGGGGACAGGAAGGAUGAGAUGUCCUGGGGUGGUUCUCACUCUGUCCUCUUGUUCCCUGAGGGUCUGGCUGGCAGGGUCGGGAUUACCCUGUUUGGCCAUCAACUGGGAGAAACAGGAGCUCAUCUGUCUGCCUCCUCUCGCCCCACGGGGGCUCACGCUGCUGCCCCCCACCAGACAUCCGUGAAGGAUAAAACCCAGGGGCAGGAACGGAUUCUUCCUGCCAGAUUUCUGGGGUCCGUUUAUCUUUGAAUGUAUUUGUGUAGCUUUUUUACGUCGGCUGUGUGGUCUCUCUCCCUUCACUUAGGCACAGAGGGACGUGCUAGACCAGACGACGGCCAAGUUGAAUACAGGUCAAGGUGAAAUUCUCCAUCAGAUGGGAACACUGGAGGGACUUCUGCAUCCCAGAGGUGGCAGGCCUGUGUGACUGCCCCCUGCCACUUCGUGGGGCGGUGGGGUGGGGGGAAGAGGUGAGCUGCCCUCAUUUCACAGGAUGAGAAAACUGAGGCUCAGAAUCGGCCCCUGAGGCUCUGUCCUCGGGGCCCCGUUUAGAGGGGCUCUUGAGAAGGAUUUCUGGCCGACCCUGCUCGGGCUCGCGGGGGAAGGGAAGUGUGGGCUGCGAUUGUCUGUUUUAGAUCAGAUUGAUGGCUGGGCCUUUCUUUUCUGGACACAGAGACGUAGCUUUUUGGAAAUAGUUGUCUCGUGAGACUCUAAGACGCGGGAGGGCUUCCUUGGUGGCACUGCUAGUACCGGGAGCCUGUCAGCUGGGCACAGGGAGUGGGUUGUAACCACACAGCCGGUUUCCGAGUUGAAACUUGCAGGACUGCAUCGCCUCCCUCCUCGCGCGGUGCUGUGUGUCGUGGGGUGUCUGGGCCGGGCUUCUUCCAUCCUGGGCCCCGGAGGGCCCCCUGCCGUUUGGUGCUGCCGUGUUCCCAGUUCCCACGGGCGUGUUCUCACUUCUUGACAGUGACCCAUCUGUGAUCCCUUGAAUAGGUCUUGGGAGGGGAAAAGGCCGGGUGUGACGUCUCGAUGUCUUGAUGUCCUGCAUCAUUAAAAACGUUGCCGGGAAAGGGAGGUCCCGUUGUGGCGCAGUGGUUAACGAAUCCGACGAGGAACCAUGAAGUUGCGGGUUCGAUCCCUGGCUUUGCUGCUUGGGUUAAGGAUCCGGCGUUGCCGUGAGCUGUGGUGUAGGUUGCAGAUGCGGCUCGGAUCCCACGUUACUGUGGUUCUGGUGUGGGCCAGCGGCUAUAGCUCCGAUUUGACCCCUAGCCUGGGAACCUCCAUAUGCCGCGGGAGCGGCCCUAGAAAAGGCAAAAAGACAAAAAACAAAAACAAAACACACACGUGGCCAGAUUCCUCCAGAAAGAGUUGUGGGGACUCGCCUUUCUACCCACGCUGCAACCUAGACCCUUAUUUACCCGACUCUGGCUGAUCGGGGUUCCCUCUGCAGCCCUCAGCCUCCAGGACGUUCAUUCUCCCCACAAGGGAGAGAAAACCUGUCCAUCAGCCUUGAGGCUUUUGUGGCGCCAGCAGUCGAGCUCGGGGGCAGCCAGGCCCACCCCUCACCAGGUGACCUGGGAGCCCUUCGAGGUGAAGCCUGCUACCUGAGAGAGCCAGUUCUGGCCUCAGCAUCCUGCCUGGGUUCCUGGAACCCUGUGGAGGGUUUUCGUUGUUUAGGCCUAGGCAGUUGGCUGCUCAGCCACUGAUGGAUGUGGCCUGAGGACGGUAUCCGGCCUGGCCUGGCGUGUGGCAGGGUUGGGUCUAGGCAGCUCACAGGGGGUGGCUUAUGAAUGUUUUUGUGAACUUCUACUGGUGGCCCCACUCGGAAGCCCAUUUUGGCUGCAGCUUGUUUUUUGUUAAGUGGGGCAGUGAUUGAUGUUUGGGCAUGGUACAUAGGGCUUUGAAGAUGGUAGAGGAGCCUGAGUGAGGAAAUACCAUUAGAACUUAGAUCUUGGAGGAGUCCCCCUUGUGGCCCAGCGGGUUCCAAACCUGAGUAGUAUCCAUGAGGAUGUGGGUUCAAUCCCUGGUGUCGCUCAGUGGGUUAAGGAUCUGGUGCUGCUUUGAGCUGCAGUGUAGGUCACAGACGAGGCUCGGAUCCUGAGUUUCUGUGGCUGUGGUGUAGGCCAGUAGCUGCAGGUCCGAUUUGACCCCAGCCCCGGGAACGUCCAUGUGCCACACGUGUGGCCCCAAAGACUUAAAAAAAAAAAA
rnacentral:lncRNA from 1 species